AAGACUAUACUUACAGGGAUCAUUUCUGUAGUUCUUAACUAGGAAGUGUGUUUCUAAAGUGUCGAGUCUCCCAAACCACGAUGAAGAGUGAAGAUGUACUCCUCUGAGCGUAAAUCAGAUAAUAGUCUGUGAUUGCAUCAUAGAAAAUUAUCAUUGAUGAACGUUCUGCGACUCUUACAAAGUCGAAGAUGAGGAGGGCACGAGCAGAGUGGU